rnacentral:lncRNA from 1 species
CAAGCUCAUGGUUCCCAUUUGGAUUCAUUUACACUACAUCGUGAUGGGAACUCCUAAACCUGGAAGGUGUUGUUCACAGCUCGCAUAUGUGCCAGACAUUCAGCAUCUUCUUAAAGGGGAAAGUAUGAAAGCCAAGGAGUUGCAAUCAUUUUCUACCUAUGUUAUUUGAGAUAAUACAACAAAAUUAUAAAAGUUCUUGGCAGAACUUUAAUUAUCUGCAAGAUUUUGUAACAGACCAUUCAUACACACACACACACACACUGCUGAGUGAAGUAUAAAGGCAUCUUUCUUCACUAUCUCAGGAGUGACAAAUUAAAAAAAUUUAGCUCCAGGGUAUGAGGUAAUUUUUCAUUUUCUCAAAAAAAAACUUAGAUCUAGAAUGGGGAGAGGCCACAAGCUCAAACUUUGAGUGAGGAGGUGGUACACUCUUUUUAACCAGAUCCAAAGCAAUGACAAAAGUACUCAUUUUAUCAGCCAGGACAGAACCUAGGGGACUGAGGUCAAUACAUUCUGUUGAGAGACAAUUUGGGAGUGAUAAAUGCACUUCCCUUAACUAUUCCCCAUGGAGGUGUGCCAUUGUCAGAUACUAAAGAUAGUCAACUCUUUUGUGUAUAUAAAUGAGGAUGCAUUAUUUGCAGACUCAUUUAGAGAAUGUUCACAUUGAUAAUCUCAUUUAAUGCUCCCAAUCAUUCCUGAGGGAGAUAGUAUUUUUCUUAUUUCAUUGCAAUGAGAGUGGCUCAAAAGAAAAUGGGAAAAGGAGGAUGUUUCAAACCCAAACACAUUAACUUCAAAUCUAAAGCCUUUUUCCAUUGCAUCCCAAUGGCUCUCCUGCAGCAGUGGGCUCUGUAUCCUGUGGACUUCUUCCUUCUACAUUCAGUCCAGAUGUGGGAGGAGUGUUGAUAUUCAUCCCUGUGGAAUAAAAACAUUUAGCCAGGAGUAAUUGGGCUUCUGUUUCUCAGAAAUAGAGUUUUGUUUCUUCUUACAGACAUACCUGAAUGCAUAUAGGGCUUUUUAAAUUAUGACACAAAAUAAAAGUUGUAAUAGGGCUCAAAAUAUAUUCUUUAACCAUAAGAAUGGGUGUGAGAAGCCUUCAGAAAUCUACUCCAUUCAGACUGGCAGCAAUAUAGACACAGAAUCAAAUGAAAGAGAUAGUAUUUUAUUCUUCUUUUCAACAAUUUAUUUAUUUACUUAUUCAUAAAAAUAUCUUAUACCUAUGAGGUGUCAAGAUACUUGUGAAGUGCUGUGAAUAAAUAUUUGGAAACACUUUUUUUUUCUUUAAAAGAGCUCCCAAUUUAGGGAGCAGAAUAGACAAAACAGUGUGUGUCAAAUGAUGUAAUGAAGGUGAGUGCUGAGUUGUAUGGGAGAACUGAGGAAGGGCUAUCAAAUCCAAAUUUACAGGGUCAAGAAAAGUAGGUUUCAGGAAGGAAGUCUCAAGUAAACACAGACCAAAGACAACUGAAACAAUAAAAGGUGAUGUGGGCAGUUUAGAGACAGAGCAUUUAGAAGGGAGCAAAACAGGAACAGGAAAACACAUGGAGAAGAGGAAAGGUGACAAAUUCAGGAAGCAGUUAUCAGGAAAAUUAGAAUGGCUGAAAUGUACACUUCAAGAGGUUUAGGAUGAGGCUAGAUAAAGUAGCAUGAAUGAAUCAUGCAGAACCUUGGAGGCCAUGUCUUUAUCUUUCUGACUUACUUCAGUAAGGAUGAGAGUCCCUAGUUCCAUCAGUUUUGCUGCAAAUGGCAUUAUUUUGUUAUGUUUAUGGCUAAGUCAUAGUCCAGUGUGUAUAUAUACCACAUCUUCCUAAUCCAGUCAUCUAUCAAUGGACAUUUGUUCCAUGUCUUGGCUAUUGUGAAUAGAGCUGCAUUGAACAUGUGGGUGCAUGUGUCUUUUUCAAGGAAAAUCUUGUCUUAAUAUGUGCCCAAGAUUGUGAUUGCUGGGUCCAAUGGUAUUUCUAUGUAUAGUCUUCUAAGGUACCUCCAUACUGUUUCUGUAGUGGUUGUACAAGCUUCCAUUCCCACCUAGAGUUCAGAAGGAUCUCUUCUCUCAACACCCCAUCCAGCAAUUGUUAUUUGUGGACUUAUUAAUUAUGGCCAUUCUGACUGGUCUGAGGUGGUAUCUCAUGGGAGAUUUGAUUUACAUUUUUCUAGUAAUCAGGGAUGUUGAGCAUUUUUUCAUGUGCUGCUUGUCCAUCUGUAUAUCUUCCUUGGAGAAAUGUCUAUUCAGGUCAUUUGACCAUUUUUCCAUUAGGUUGUUGGCUUUUUUUUCUGUUGAGUUGUAUAAGUUGUAAAAUAUAUAUUGAACCACAAAAUACCCUGAAUUGCCAAAGCAUUUCUUAUGAACAAAAACCUAGCAGGAGGCAUAACUCUCCCAGAGUUCAUGUGAUAUUACAGAGCAACAGUAAUCAAGACAGUGUAGUACUGGUUCCAAAACAGACAUACAGACCAAUAGAACAUAACAGAGAACCAAGAAAUAAACCCAAACACCUAUGGUCAAUUAAUCUUUGACAAAUAAAGCAAGAACAUAAAAAUGGGGAAAAGACUGUCAUUUCAGCAAAUAUUGCUGGGAAACAUGGACAGCUGCAUGAAAGUCCAUGAAAUUAGGACACACCCUCAUACCAUGCACCAAAAUAAACUCAAAAUGUCUUAAAGACAUAAAUAUAAGACAAGACACCAUCAAACUCCUGGAAGAAAACAUAGGCAAAACAUUCUCUGACAUCAAUCUUACAUAUGGUUUCUCAGGUCAGUCUUCCAAAGCAGCAGAAAUAAGAACAAAAAUAAACAAGUGGGACCUAAUCAAACGGACAAGCUUUUGCACAGCAAAGGAAAAAAAAGGAAACAAAAAGACAACCUACAGAGUGGUAGAAAAUAGCUUCAAAUGAUGCAACUGACAAGGUCUUAAUCUCUAAAAUAUACAAAUAACUGAUACAGCUCAACAUCAAAAAUGCCAAAACCAAUGGGAAAAAAAUGGGCAAAAGACCUGAAUAGACAUUUCUUCAAGGAAGAUAUACAGAUGGCCAGUAAGCACAUGAAAAAAUGCUCAACAUCACUAAUCAUUAGAGAAAUGCAAAUCAAAACUACAUGAAAAACCACCUUUUUUUUGGAACAUUGCUUAUAUUGCAACUCACUCACUCCUCCUAUAGUGUUUUUUUUUUCCUUUUUUUUUUGUAUUUCCACAAAGCCUCAACCAAAACCAAUCAGAACAAUAAAAUGUUAAAAUGUGAGGCCCAGGUAGGAAGUGGUGAAUACCUGCACACAAAUCUUGGCCUCAGCCCUUGACAUCCAUCACUGUGUGCCCUUGAGCAUGAUUGUUGAUCCUUCUCUGCCUCUGUCUCCUAAUCUGGCUUAGCACAGUGUCUAGCAUAUAGGAGGUUCUCCAUGUGUCAGUUUAUCUGGAAUUGCAUUCUUGCAGAUGCAAAAUUCAUUUUGUACAUCAAAACCUAUGCUUUUAAAAACAUAAACUAGAUAGAACAUAACAUAAAAUGCAAGAAUAUAUAGCACCAUCUAGGUAUUAUCCUAAAGCAGCACUAAAAUUUUACUUUUAAAAGUGCUUCCUGAGUCAUAGUGAAGAUAGAAAUGUUGAUUCCUAACAGUCAAUGAUAAAAAUCACUAAGUCAUAGAAAAUUAACUUGCAUUCCUCCAGGAGCCAACGCUGAACCAAGAAUUAAGUACAAAUAGUAUAUUUGGGGAUUGAAGAAAGCAGCAAGAGGGGAGUGGGAAAGGAAGAUGUGGAAAGUAAGGCUAUAGACAAAGGACAAAUAGCAGACAAUCAUCACCCAGGUAACUGAAGCUAAUUCCACUGUGGAGACACUAGAAUCCAGCACACCUCAGAUUUGUGCACUUUGAUUUUACAAAGAUGCUACUGGCCAAUAUUCCAGAAACUUUCUUCUCUGGCUUGUAUCUAAAAUGUAGGACUUCAGAAGUCUGAGUUGAGGGUCUCUACAGUCCUUCUGAUCUGAUAUACACAACAUUGUGGCAGUAGCACAGGGUCACCACAGCUAGAAAGAAGCUUCCGAGAUAAAGUUUUGCUCUACCUAUCUGUUAACCUCAAAUAUCAAAAAGGACAAAAUAAACCUUCAAAGAUGAUCUCAAGCUGGAAAUAUUUCUUUGUUCUCGAUAUCUCACUCCUAAGACUCAUUAAUGCCACAACAAAUUAUCCUGUUAUUCCAAAGGUUAAUUUUAAAGAACAUGAAGUUUUUAAAUUUAAGUUAACUUUUCUGGGAAGUUUAAACAUCAGUAUUUUUUCCCAUAGUGCAAGAUUGUUUCCUGUAUGGGUUAUUUUUCAUCUAUUUUUUAUUCAUUCAUUUAUUCUUGCUGUCUUGUUCUUCCUUUAAACCACUUUUAUUCAAUGGACUUUAAUUCUUUAUUUUAUUUGAUGUAACCAAACCUAAUAAUACAAAAUAUAAAGUGACUAUGCUUUUCUCUUGUCACUUUGCAAUUCAUAAUGGUGACCAGAAAAUAAAGUGACUAUGCUUUUCUCUUGUCACUUUGCAAUUCCUAAUGAUUUCCUUUGGGUCAACUGUGAGUAUGGCCCAAUAAGAUCCUUUUGAGUAGGAUAUUGUUCUACCAAAUUCUCAGAAGCCACUCAGUCCUUUGGCUAUUUGGAUCUCAUUGGAGCUAGUAAUUCUUCUUUUUUAAACUCCCUGCAGCUUAUCAUCUGCGAAAUGAUGAUUAAGGCUUGGAAACAGAGCCUGGAACAGAAGGAGAAGUGAUGAUGCUUGAGGUCUUUCCUCCAUGGGCUCAUUCUCUAAGGUCCCCAGCACAAACCUCUCUCCAGUGGGACACAUUUCCUAGAGGAACCAAAGGGGAAAUUGGGCAAUUAAUCUAGGUCUGAGGGAUGUCUUUAACUAUAAAUUACAAGUUCAUCUCCCAGUACCUUAGGGCUUUCUCCUCGGUUAAGUAUACACUGAAAUUCAUAGUUCUGGGGCUGAUAGACAGGGAUGAGAGUAUGAGCUUGUUGCUUUUCUUUUUGAUGCUCAAGAGAUGUUGAGAACCUUGGAAGCUAAUAUUAACAUCCCUUAAAGAGAUACUUGGGGCAUAUGUAGCCACGACACAUGGGAUUAUAAAUGCAAACAAGGUCAGUAUUGGGGAUAGUACUGAUAAUGUUUUCUCAACAGGAUUUGGGCUUAUAUGUGGAUCUAGAAGAGGAAAUAUCAGAAAGCUUAGUUUUAUAUGGAAGAGAAGAGAGAAUACAAAAGACAGAGAAAAUGAGAGAGGUGGGGGAGCAUAUUUAAAAUCAUGGAGUGACAAAGAAUGAAGAUGCAGUGGCUGAGAGAAUGAGAACUGGGAGAGGAGGAAGGAGAAAGUGAGAGAAGGAAAGACAAAGCAAAGGGAUAAACCAAAA